GUUCCCAAGCCUUUGAAAUUUUCAAUGGAAUUGUUCGGGGUGAGUUAAACCACUCCAAUGCUUCUCCUUCAAGCGAUAGAGAGAACGCACGGCACCAGAUGGCGUCGCAUUCAGUGCAGAAAGCCAUAGCAUUGGUGAAUGAUUUGACGUGCACCUCCAGAUCAGUGGAGUCGUCAUACAUCUUGAACUGGGGUGGGAUGAAUUGCUCCGAUAUGUGAAUGUCCCUUAUCGCUUGGACGAAAGGAACGGUUACUGACGAUCCCUCGCUCUUUAUUAGCACUGUAUUCUCCCCUUUGUCAUCUUUGGCCUCCUUCUCUUUCCUCGUUUUUCCCUGACCCUAGGCGCUACUAUGUUCCUCCUUCUCGCCAUCUUCCAUCAGAACUUUUUUAUUUUAUCCCCCACCAAUGCCUUCGCCGGUUUCCAGGGCCUUCCCCUUAGCCACUUGAGCCAAACACUCUACCCUCAUGGUCGUCAUUUCUCCCUCGUGCCGCCGUUGCAUCUCUUCCAACUUCUGUUAUGAUGCCCGUAUCAUCUCGGCCUCCUCCUCUGCGCUCAUGUUUCUUGUGGCCACCAUUGGUAAUAAUCCGCCGGCCCCAUAGUGGGCGCUAAAUGUUUCGGUUGUGAAGUCGAACCCCACUAACACCUACACAAUUCGUCUUCUGGAUGUCCGGUCACGCCUCCUGUCUUCCCGUACGCUUCUGCUUAUUCGGUUCUAAACUUCCCCUUCGCUACACGCUCCGGUCGGGUACCUGCCAAUGGUCCUCCGACACUCAUGUCAGUUCGCAGGUCACUCUAGAGAUAGAGAGAGAAAGAGAGUGCAGAAAUAAAUGCGCAGUAAAAGUAACCAACUACCUCCUACCUUUGACCUCUAUUUAUAGUUUUUUGCCAUGGGCCUGUGAUUAACAAAACCUUAAUCACGGUCCAAUUGUUGGCCCAAUACCCUUAAUCGUGUUUUACCUUAAUUCUGUCUUCACGCUGCC
rnacentral:lncRNA from 1 species